CAAAACACCACUCCAGGCACACAUGGGGAUGCAGUGCAGAGGCUCUUGGGAGGGUGGUCAUUGAGUACUUCAGUGAGAAGGAUAAAGGUGUGAGGAUGUACAUCACACGACAGACAGCCCAACUUGACACUUGAGUCAGACAUAUCAUUAUUCCAGCCAGUACUGCCACUCCUUGGGUUUGUCAUCUUGAAAAAAAUGUUUAUUUAUUUCAACUUCCAUUUUAUUAACUGUACAAUGCAUUUUAUUGGUAGAGUUUGAAAGAUAGGAGAAUAUUCUCAAAGAGGCAUAAAUAUGUAAACUUAAAAAAUGUCUAAUGGUAUAUUUGUUAAAAAUUCUUUCGUUUUCCCUUGACACGUGUAAUAAGUUUUUCAGAUCUGUAUAUUUUGGGAGUGGUUUCAAACAGAACCUCAGGGCCUAGUUAUGGGAAUAUUACUGGGUUAAAAAAAGUAGGAAACAUUUCUCUUCCUCUAUGGCUGCAGAGAACUGAAUGCAUUUUUAGAAGAAAUUUUGGUAGAUAAAUUGGUGAUUUAGAGAUGUGCCAAAAUAUCAGUUUCUCUUUUCUGCGUGGUGGGGAAUUUGUAGUAAUGAAUAAGUCUGCUCUGUAUGCUGUUAUCUGGAUGUCUGAAUUUAAUGUUAAAUUUUAUGGAAUAGGACUUGACAUUCCUGGUUAAUGUUCAUGUAUGAUUUCCUAUUUGUUGUUAUGGAAAUAAUACCUAAAUGAUUAUUGUCUGAAAUUGAUAUAUAUUUUGGUUUUUCUUGUUGAAGUAUAAAAUGUAAGUGCCUUACAAUCUCCUUUCCUCCUAUAAACAUAAGCAAUGAGUUUGAGGAAUUUUGCUGGUUUCUUUAAACACCGAGUUCUUUUAUAUAAAACUAAGUGAAUAAUCUUGACUGGGAAUCAGAGACCUAAGACUGUUGACUGCAAGGUAAGGCCAAUCUUGACCCUGCCAAAGGAGGUCAUCAGUAGCCCGGUAGUUUCUUCCUGGGAACAUUUUCUGCAGGUGUCCCAGCCUGGCUCAAAUUAGACAUGAAAGGAGCCUUUAUACUGAGAAGCUACAGAGCCCUGGAAAGCUGAGGAUCCACAGGCAGAUGCAGUGAGAGUUGGGAUGGGAGGAGGGUUGUGAUGUCCUCUGAGAGGGUGUAAUUGUUAUUGUCAUCGGGCUGUUUCUAGAUAUCAUCAAAUAAAAUAAAUUCUGAUGUAGGUAAGAAGUGACUUUAUUUUAAGGAGUAUUGCAAUGGAAAAAGCACUAAGCACAAGAUCUGCAAGCACCUCCAAAAUGAGACAGAUAAGGGUGAUUUUUCAUAUGGAGGAUCAAACGAUUAGAAGGAAGAUGGGAGGGAGAAGGCAGAAUGGAGAAUGAGAAUGGCAAAAUCAGAUUCAAGAUUAGAGAAUGUUUCACCCUGAAGUCAGCCUGUUCUUGGGAGGGGCAUCAAGAGGGUUGUAUGCUGGCUUAGACUGAAGGUGGAGCAUAGUCCAGGGGCCUGGGAGAAGGAGAGAAACUUGAGCAGUUUGGUUAACAAGUAUUCUGAACACUGAAGACAAAAUUAUUAAUUAUUUAUGAGGGAAAAAUGAGAAUGUAGAAUCUGUGAAUUUGUGAUACCUAAAGAGGGAGUAUCAUAAAAGUCAUAAUGAAAAGGGUAUUUCUUUGCAGUAAGCUUUUCUUGCAGAACACAAAGGAUUUGAGAGAUGUUAGUCGUAACUACCAUGAUUCACUGCCCACAUCAUGUUUUCCCUGCUUUUCUUUGUCCUAUGUGUUUUUUCCUCUUAGCAUUUACUGAGUUGUAUCCAAUAUAAUAAUCUAGUAAACAUAGGUAAAGUGUUUUUGCCAAGUUCUGUGAGUAGUUUUAUCAAAUCCUUUAACUUGAGGGAGGGAGUUAUGGAAGCCUAUAAUUUAUAGACAGUUCCUCAGAAGUAUAGAUGGGUCCCUGGGGCUUGUGACUGGCAUGUGGAAUGGAAGCAGUGUUGUGGGACUCAGCCUUGAGUCAGUGGGGUCUAUGCUGACCUGGGUGUUUUCAGAAUUGAGUUGUUGGACACCCAGUUUGUGUUGGAGAAUGGUUGAUGUUCAGCAAACUCCAUAUAUUUGGUGUUAGAAUAAAGAUAUUAGGGCCAGGCACGGUGGCCCAGCUGCUUUUUUUAAAAGAAUAAAUAGCUUUCUGAGAUCUUUAAUUUUAAUUAUGUACUUAUUGAAGAGACAGGGUCCUGCUAUAUCGACCAGACUGGUUUUGAACUCCUGGCCUCAAGCAAAAGUUAGCUUCUAUGUAUAGAAAAAUUAAACAAUCUUACUCCCUUCAACAUAGUAUUUAUGUC
rnacentral:lncRNA from 1 species